UGAAUGGUGUGAUCAGAUUUCGUCGACACCGCGGAAAGCAAGGAAUGGCGCCCCUGAGGGUCCGCCCAAUACACUGGCAGCCAGUGAUCCUACACAGCGUUCACCCCGGAGGUGUGCCUCCUGCGUGCAUACCUUUCACUCUUACACUAAACACCCAUAAUGAUCGAACACAGAAGUCGAUUCUAUACACGACAGCCUGGCUUAGCUAAACGGCUCACACUUUCGCCCUUCUGACUCUGGCUAGAGGUGAUAUACUUCAGUACUCACACAGCUCAAACGGAGGACAAAAGCUGGGUACAGACAGCCUCGGAUCUGUCCAUGCUUUCCUUUUUCAGAGAGUGGACAGAAUAUCCAAUCUUGGCUCAAGGCUUACAUUUGCCACUGAGAUGAUGCGCUGGUAGAAACGAUCGACGCCUAAAACCAUCGAUCCUGACUGUUGAAGAAAUGAGACCGUCUAAGAGGAGGGACUGCACUGACAAAAAGACUGACAUAUUCGGUGAUCCCAACGUGAUUCACAUGGCGAUCUGUGCCGAUGUGACGUGACCUCCACCAUGAUCAAAGACACACUUUGCCUCCGAGGUGAGAGAGAUUGUAAUUGCUUUUUCUGGUUUCCUCGCGCUGAGAUAAAUUGCAUUGUAAAUUGUUUCUUCCCCGUCUCCAACUCUACAGGUCUGUUAGGAACUGAACAACAGCAAGCUUUGCCAUCGGGACAUUACUUGCUGGUUAAUUUUGUCCUGCUUUGAAAGCAGAUAUAAAUGUGACAGCUCCCAAGCUGACUGAAAUCUUCAAGCAAGUUUGGGAAUCAGGGCAGCUCCCUGUUGCUUGGAAGACAGGGCUCAUCUUCAAGUUACCCAAGAAAGGAGAU
rnacentral:lncRNA from 1 species